UUACUGAAGUACUGAAAUAAUUACCAUUUUAAUUCAGUGCCUGGAGUAUAGUAAACGUUCAAUAAAUGUUUGCUGAAUAAAUACCUGGCUUUUUAAUAUUGUUUUGCCAUUUAUAAUUUCUCUGGUUCCUUAGGACAAUCCUGAGAGGUAAGAAUAUUAUUCUUCCCAUUUUCAUUUCCUGCAGAGGUCAUGCCCCUAGGAGCAGCAGAAUUGGAGCUUCGGUUCACACGCUUGAUUCACUAUUUCUCCCUCUUGGAUCUUGUCUUCCCAAAACCUUGCAGGGUCAUGUGGGAAAGACAAUACAUCUUCUUAUGCCGAGGAUGGAGCAGAAGGCUGGGAGGAGGGAAGAGCCAGGAGAACACAAAGCAGAGAUGAGCCAGGUGGACUCUGCCUGAGGCCACGCUGCAGAGACCUCUUUGGGUGAAGGACACCAACAGAUACAACAGGUGGUGAAGAAGACAAAAAUUUAAAGAGAUGAUGAUAGAAAACAGGAAGAAACACGGCAUGGAGGUCUGGAGGUUUGGUACGCCCUGAAGUCUCCCCUGAGGUUUCUCCCACGGAAUGAGGGUUGUGCCAGAGCCAGAUGGUCUCCUCCACAAUUACAAGAGCCUUAUUCUAUUCCAGUCUCUCCUCCUGCCUGGCCAUUGUGGAAAUUCUAACUACACGUAAGGCUGUUCACAAGCAGUGGUUCCAGAACAGACCCUGCACUUUCUGAGUAUUGACUGCCAGACUAAGUGAAGAGAAGGUCAGUUUCUCAGCAGGCCCGAGCCUGUCUCAAGUCUAGGCCUGCCCAUCUCUUCUGUGAGUAUCUUGAGUAUUCAUUGGUAUCACGAUGCCUUAACCUAUUACCUGAGGAUUUUGUGUGUGUGUAUUUUCUUGUAACCCUAUGGCCCUUCUUCCAUUUUGCUGCUAGACAAUGGGCCAUCUACUGGCUCAGAGGAAAAAAAAAAAAAAAGAAGUGUUUCUCUGACUUAAGUUCAAAUAUAUAAAGCCUACAGGGAACAAGGCAUUCUCAGGAGAAGUUAAUAGAUUUGAGAGGAUACGCAAUGACGCAGGAACAACAUUUCCCACUGCAAAGGAUCAUUUGACGGGUCAAGAGCAGUAAGCAUCCCUGACUAUCAGAGGGGAUAUAAAAAACAUGAGCUGCUGGUUUGUUUUGGAUGGGAGACAACAGCAAUCUCAGGGAAGUAGAGAUUGCUGCCCUUAGUUGCACAGAGAGCUUGAAGAAGCUUCAAGAUGUCAGAAUAGAAAUGGCUAUGGGGUGUGGCUACAGAGUUUGUCUAGAUGCAUGGGCCUGAGGCUGCCUCCAGAGCGUCCCCAGCCCAACUUGAUGUGCACCUAGGGAAUGAUUCCAGUAUGCUCAUGAAGAACACAGAAUUGCUGAAGGCCCUUGGAUAGCCCCUCAAACCCCACCCCAGGACCAGUGACAUGCAAGGGCCUUAGGAAGAACUUUGUCAGCAAGGAUAGUCACUGGACCAGAAGGAGCCCUUUGGAUCGUUGCAAGAUCCAUCCAAGCAGCAAUCUGAGUAGUUCAAUCUCUGCAGGCCAAUGGGACAACAGAUCUCAGUAGAUGACAACUUGGAUACCUGUCUACUUUUCCUAGCACCUUGGCCCCUUCAAACUUAGGCCAGACGCUAUGGAAGAGGAGAGGGGGAGGUCUUUCAAAUGCCUAGUAUUAUAUUUCUGCCACUCGGAUGAAUCUAAACCUGAUAUUAUUUGUAGACAUUCACUAUUUUCUAUGUUAAAAAAAAUACACCUUUAUAAAAUUAGAAAUGGACUUAUAUUUCUUGCCCACUUGAGUUUGUGGACAGAGAGUCACAUUCCACACCAUAUUGCUAUUUUUUCCUGCCUUCACGUCUGGUCUCCACAGCUAGGCUGUAAGAUAUUCAAGGCUCCACAGUAACCGUCUUUUUUUUCUACCAAGCACUUUGUAUAUAACAAGACAUAUUUUGAGAGAGACCCUAUGGAAUAGGAUGUGAAUAGUUGUUUACACAUUAUCAGCUGGAGUAUCAGUUCAAGGGUUUCUCAGCUCUGAUUUCAUUUAUAAGGUGUAUAGUUUUCCCCCAAGUAUUCAUUCUUCACAUCAAGAGAUAAAUAUUUGUCAAGCACCACCAUGGACAAGGCCUUGCUUCUACCUCUUCCUGGGGAUGGAGUCCUUGUCCUCAAGGAACUUGUUACUGGAGAUGAGGACAAGUUGUAGCUGAUUGCACUGAACAUGCAUUGAGUUUAGGACAACACGUAGGAGGUUAGUUGUCUGUUUUUAAAUACACGGAUAAUCUGAUUGCAAAAGUGAUAAAUGUUUAAUUGGGAACACUUGCAAAAUAUAGCAGUAAACAAAUUGUACCCAUAAACUCAGAACUUGUAAAAGUAAUCAGUGUUAACAAUUUGGUGUGUAUCAUUACAUAUGCUCUGUAAAAGUG